rnacentral:rRNA from 1 species
GACGAACGCUGGCGGCGUGCUUAACACAUGCAAGUCGAACGAGUGGCGGACUGGUGAGUAAUGUCUGGGAACCUGGCUUAUGGAGGGGGAUAACUACGGGAAAAGGUAGCUAAUACCGCUUACCAUAGGAUGAGCCCAGGUGGGAUUAGGUAGUUGGUGGGUGAAAGGCUCAUCAAGCCGUCGAUCUCUAGCUGGUCUGAGAGGAUGACCGGCCACACGGGGACUGAGACACGGCCCAGACUCCUACGUGAGGCAGCAGUGGGGAAUAUUGCGCAAUGGGAGAAAUCUGACGCAGCCAUGCCGCGUGAGUGAAGAAGGCCGUCGGUUUGUAAAGUGCUUUCGGUAGCGAGGCGUUAACUACAGAAAAAGCACCGGCUAACUCCGUGCCAGCAGCCGCGGUAAUUC